rnacentral:lncRNA from 1 species
CCGGUGUUCCCUCUGCCCCAGAGGAACGGGCACCAAAUCUCGGGAAACAAUGAAGCCUCCGCGGCGCGCAGAGGGCACCCAGCCGCGCGCCCUGAUGCGGGCCAGGGAGGCCGCGUGGGGCUGCAGCCCGGCCUCGCCCGCCCAGGCGGUCUGUCUUCGCUUCACACCACAGCGACACUGCUGCCCCUCGCCCGGCUUCGCGGUGCGGCUCCCACUCCAGCCCGGCUUUCCCCUCCUCGCCCUCCAGCUCUGGGCAGGGG